UUUGCGCUUUCACUUGACAACAUUGUCGUGUGAAUAGGGCCCGAGGCUUGUGUCUGUUCUUCUGCCUUGAUCGACACUUGCUCUGGCAGGACAGUAAA